UUGGAGGGCAAGUCUGGUGCCAGCAGCCGCGGUAAUUCCAGCUCCAAUAGCAUAUAUUAAAGUUGUUGCGGUUAAAAAGCUCGUAGUUGAAUUUCGGGGUUAGUAGGUUGGUCAUGCCUCUGGUAUGUACUGGUCUCACUGAUUCCUCCUUCCUGAUGAACCGUAAUGCCAUUAAUUUGGUGUUGCGGGGAAUUUGGACUGUUACUUUGAAAAAAUUAGAGUGUUUAAAGCAAGCUAACGCUUGAAUACAUUAGCAUGGAAUAAUGAAAUAGGACGUUCGAUCCUAUUUUGUUGGUUUCUAGGAUUGACGUAAUGAUUAAUAGGGAUAGUUGGGGGCAUUAGUAUUCAAUUGUCAGAGGUGAAAUUCUUGGAUUUAUUGAAGACUAACUACUGCGAAAGCAUUUGCCAAGGAUGUUUUCAUUAAUCAAGAACGAAAGUUAGGGGAUCGAAGACGAUCAGAUACCGUCGUAGUCUUAACCAUAAACUAUGCCGACUAGGGAUCGGAUGAUGUUAAUUUUUUAAUGACUCAUUCGGCACCUUACGGGAAAC
rnacentral:rRNA from 1 species